GAUGAACGCUGGCGGCGUGCCUAAUACAUGCAAGUCGAGCGAACAGACGAGGAGCUUGCUCCUCUGACGUUAGCGGCGGACGGGUGAGUAACACGUGGAUAACCUACCUAUAAGACUGGGAUAACUUCGGGAAACCGGAGCUAAUACCGGAUAAUAUAUUGAACCGCAUGGUUCAAUAGUGAAAGACGGUUUUGCUGUCACUUAUAGAUGGAUCCGCGCCGCAUUAGCUAGUUGGUAAGGUAACGGCUUACCAAGGCAACGAUGCGUAGCCGACCUGAGAGGGUGAUCGGCCACACUGGAACUGAGACACGGUCCAGACUCCUACGGGAGGCAGCAGUAGGGAAUCUUCCGCAAUGGGCGAAAGCCUGACGGAGCAACGCCGCGUGAGUGAUGAAGGUCUUCGGAUCGUAAAACUCUGUUAUUAGGGAAGAACAAAUGUGUAAGUAACGAUGCACGUCUUGACGGUACCUAAUCAGAAAGCACGGCUAACUACGUG
rnacentral:rRNA from 1 species